AUAAACAAAUUAAUGCUUUAAAGAAAGUUAGAAGCUUUCACUUAUGAUAUUUCAAU
rnacentral:tRNA from 1 species